rnacentral:rRNA from 1 species
GUUGUAUAGUCAAGUAAUUAAGUGCAUGUGGUGGAUGCCUUGGCAGUCAGAGGCGAUGAAAGACGUGAUAGCCUGCGAAAAGCUCCGGGGAGGCGGCAAAUAUCCUUUGAUCCGGAGAUGUCUGAAUGGGGGAACCCACCUACUUUAAGGUAGGUAUUGCAACAUGAAUACAUAGUGUUGCAAGGCGAACGAGGGGAAGUGAAACAUCUCAGUACCCUUAGGAAAAGAAAUCAAUUGAGAUUCCCUCAGUAGCGGCGAGCGAACGGGGAUCAGCCCAUUAAGUUAUGUGUGUUUUAGUGGAACGCUCUGGGAAGUGCGAACGUAGAGGGUGAUAUUCCCGUACACGAAAGGGCACACAUAAUGAUGACGAGUAGGGCGAGGCACGUGAAACCUUGUCUGAAUAUGGGGGGACCAUCCUCCAAGGCUAAAUACUCCUGACUGACCGAUAGUGAACCAGUACCGUGAGGGAAAGGCGAAAAGAACCCCUGUGAGGGGAGUGAAAUAGAUCCUGAAACCGCAUGCAUACAAGCAGUGGGAGCACCUUCGUGGUGUGACUGCGUACCUUUUGUAUAAUGGGUCAGCGACUUAUAUUCAGUAGCAAGGUUAACCGUAUAGGGGAGCCGUAGAGAAAUCGAGUCUUAAUAGGGCGUUUAGUUGCUGGGUAUAGACCCGAAACCAGGCGAUCUAUCCAUGAGCAGGUUGAAGGUUGGGUAACACUAACUGGAGGACCGAACCCACUGUCGUUGAAAAGCCAGGGGAUGACUUGUGGAUAGGGGUGAAAGGCUAAUCAAGCCUGGUGAUAGCUGGUUCUCCCCGAAAGCUAUUUAGGUAGCGCCUCGGACGAAUACCAUAGGGGGUAGAGCACUGUUUCGGCUAGGGGGUCAUCCCGACUUACCAAACCGAUGCAAACUCCGAAUACCUAUGAGUACUAUCCGGGAGACAGACUGCGGGUGCUAACGUCCGUAGUCAAGAGGAAAACAAUCCAGACCGCCAGCUAAGGCCCCAAAAUCAUAGUUAAGUGGGAAACGAUGUGGGAAGGCAUAGACAGCUAGGAGGUUGGCUUAGAAGCAGCCACCCUUUAAAGAAAGCGUAAUAGCUCACUAGUCGAGUCGGCCUGCGCGGAAGAUGUAACGGGGCUAAAACUAUGUGCCGAAGCUGCGGAUNNNNNNNNNNNNNNNNNNAUGCUGGAGGUAUCAGAAGUGCGAAUGCUGACGUGAGUAACGACAAAACGGGUGAAAAACCCGUUCGCCGAAAGACCAAGGGUUCCAGUCCAACGUUAAUCGGGGCUGGGUGAGUCGACCCCUAAGGCGAGGCCGAAAGGCGUAGUCGAUGGGAAAAUGGUUAAUAUUCCAUUACUUCUGUGUAAUGCGAUGAGAGGACGGAGAAGGCUAAAUCAGCCUGGCGUUGGUUGUCCAGGUGAAAGGAUGUAGGCAUGUAUCUUAGGCAAAUCCGGGGUACUCUAUGCUGAGAUCUGAUAGCAAGCUGUACUUGUACAGCGAAGUGGUUGAUGCCAUGCUUCCAGGAAAAGUCUCUAAGCUUCAGUUACACAGGAAUCGUACCCGAAACCGACACAGGUGGUCAGGUCGAGUAGACCAAGGCGCUUGAGAGAACUCUGCUGAAGGAACUAGGCAAAAUGGUACCGUAACUUCGGGAGAAGGUACGCUGUUGUUGGUGAUGGAACUCGCUUCCUGAGCUGACGACAGCCGCAGAAACCAGGCCGCUGCAACUGUUUAUUAAAAACAUAGCACUCUGCAAACACGAAAGUGGACGUAUAGGGUGUGAUGCCUGCCCGGUGCUGGAAGGUUAAUUGAUGGGGUUAGCGUAAGCGAAGCUCUUGAUCGAAGCCCCAGUAAACGGCGGCCGUAACUAUAACGGUCCUAAGGUAGCGAAAUUCCUUGUCGGGUAAGUUCCGACCUGCACGAAUGGCAUAAUGAUGGCGGCGCUGUCUCCAGCAGAGGCUCAGUGAAAUCGAAAUCGCUGUGAAGAUGCAGUGUACCCGCGGCUAGACGGAAAGACCCCGUGAACCUUUACUGCAGCUUGACACUGAACUUUGACCUUACUUGUGUAGGAUAGGUGGGAGGCUUUGAAGCUGGAACGCUAGUUCCAGUGGAGCCGUCCUUGAAAUACCACCCUGGUAAUGUUGAGGUUCUAACUCUGUCCCGUGAUCCGGGACGAGGACCGUGUCUGGUGGGUAGUUUGACUGGGGCGGUCUCCUCCUAAAGAGUAACGGAGGAGUACGAAGGUGCGCUCAGCGUGGUCGGAAAUCACGCGUAGAGUAUAAAGGCAAAAGCGCGCUUAACUGCGAGACCCACAAGUCGAGCAGGUACGAAAGUAGGUCUUAGUGAUCCGGUGGUUCUGUAUGGAAGGGCCAUCGCUCAACGGAUAAAAGGUACUCUGGGGAUAACAGGCUGAUACCGCCCAAGAGUUCAUAUCGACGGCGGUGUUUGGCACCUCGAUGUCGGCUCAUCUCAUCCUGGGGCUGAAGCAGGUCCCAAGGGUAUGGCUGUUCGCCAUUUAAAGAGGUACGCGAGCUGGGUUUAGAACGUCGUGAGACAGUUCGGUCCCUAUCUACCGUGGGCGCUGGAAAUUUGAGAGGAUCUGCUCCUAGUACGAGAGGACCAGAGUGGACGAACCUCUGGUGUACCGGUUGUGACGCCAGUCGCAUCGCCGGGUAGCUAUGUUCGGAAGGGAUAACCGCUGAAAGCAUCUAAGCGGGAAGCCUACCUCAAGAUAAGAUUUCCCUAGGACUUUAUGUCCUCUAAAGAGCCGUUCGAGACUAGGACGUUGAUAGGUUGGAUGUGGAAGCAUAGUGAUAUGUGAAGCUGACCAAUACUAAUUGCUCGUGAGGCUUGACUAUACAACACCCAAGCAGUUG